UGGGGAAUAUUGCACAAUGGGCGAAAGCCUGAUGCAGCGACGCCGCGUGAGGGAUGACGGCCUUCGGGUUGUAAACCGUCUUUCAGCAGGGAAGAAGCGAAAGUGACGGUACCUGCAGAGAAGCGCCGGCUAACUACGUGCCAGCAGCCGCGGUAAUACGUAGGGCGCAAGCGUUGUCCGGAAUUAUUGGGCGUAAAGAGCUCGUAGGCGGUUAGUCGCGUCUGCUGUGAAAACUCGAGGCUCAACCUCGGGCUUGCAGUGGGUACGGGCUGACUAGAGUGCGGUAGGGGUGACUGGAUUCCUGUGUAGCGGUGGAAUGCGCAGAUAUCAGGAGGAACACCGAUGGCGAAGGCAGGUCACUGGGCCGCAACUGACGCUGAGGAGCGAAAGCAU
rnacentral:rRNA from 1 species